UGGUCACAAUAGGACAAAGAGGCUAAUGAGAUGGGCACAAUAGGACAAGGGGAUGAUGGAAUAGACAUAAUAGGACAAGGAGUGAUGGAAUGGAAUGAGAGGGGCACAGUGGGAAUAGGGGAUGAAAGGAUGAGGUGGAAUGAAUGCAGUUGGACAAUGGGGGGAGGGUGAUAGAAUGGAACGAAAGGAUACAAUAGGAUUAAGGGACGAUGAGAUGAAAUGAAUGCAAUAGAAUGGAGGAGGGUGAUGGAAUGGAAUGGAUUGAAAAGGGACAAUGGAAU